rnacentral:tRNA from 1 species
GGAGAGGUGGCUGAGAGGCUGAAGGCGCUCCCCUGCUAAGGGAGUAUGGAUGGUAAGUCCAUCGAGGGUUCGAAUCCCUCCCUCUCCGCCA